rnacentral:rRNA from 1 species
GAUCGGCCCGCGUCUGAUUAGCUAGUUGGUGGGGUAACGGCCUACCAAGGCAACGAUCCGUAGCUGGUCUGAGAGGAUGAUCAGCCACACUGGGACUGAGACACGGCCCAGACUCCUACGGGAGGCAGCAGUGGGGAAUAUUGGACAAUGGGCGCAAGCCUGAUCCAGCCAUGCCGCGUGAGUGACGAAGGUCUUCGGAUUGUAAAGCUCUUUUGGCGGGGACGAUAAUGACGGUACCCGCAGAAUAAGCCCCGGCUAACUUCGUGCCAGCAGCCGCGGUAAUACGAAGGGGGCUAGCGUUGUUCGGAAUCACUGGGCGUAAAGCGCACGUAGGCGGAUGUGUCAGUCAGGGGUGAAAUCCCGGAGCUCAACUUCGGAACUGCCUCUGAUACAGCACGUCUUGAGUCCGGAAGAGGUGGGUGGAAUUCCUAGUGUAGAGGUGAAAUUCGUAGAUAUUAGGAAGAACACCAGUGGCGAAGGCGGCCCACUGGUCCGGUACUGAAGCUGAAGUGCGAAAGCGUGGGGAGCAAACAAGAUUAGAUACCCUGGUAGUCCACGCCGUAAAAGAUGGAUGGCUACCGUCAACAAGCAUGCUUGGUGGGGGCGCAACUUACGCAUUUAGCAUUCCGCCUGGGGGAGU